rnacentral:rRNA from 1 species
GGCCUUCGGGUUGCUAACUGCUUUUGUNCGANACGAAAAGGCCCUGGUGAACAACCGGGGUUGCUGACGGUACCGUAAGAAUAAGCACCGGCUAACUACGUGCCAGCAGCCGCGGUAAUACGUAGGGUGCGAGCGUUAAUCGGAAUUACUNNGGCGUAAAGCGUGCGCAGGCGGACAUGCAAGACAGAUGUGAAAUCCCCGGGCUCAACCUGGGAACUGCAUAUGUGACUGUAUGACUUGGAGUCCGGCAGAGGGGAUGGAAUUCCCCGGGUNGCAGUGAAAUGCGUAAAUUUCGGAGGACCCCCGAUGGGNAAGGCAUUCCCUGGGCNAGUCUNNCCUUNUUCCNAAAGGGGGGNNGCAACAGANUUANUCCNUUUUGGNC